AUUGAACGCUGGCGGCAGGCCUAACACAUGCAAGUCGAGCGAGUGGCGGACGGGUGAGUAAUGUAUGGGAAUCUGCCCGAUGGAGGGGGAUAACUACUGGAAACGGUAGCUAAUACCGCAUACCAUCGGAUGUACCCAUAUGGGAUUAGCUAGUGGGUGGGGUAACGGCUCACCAAGGCGACGAUCCCUAGCUGGUCUGAGAGGAUGACCAGCCACACUGGAACUGAGACACGGCCCAGACUCCUACGGGAGGCAGCAGUGGGGAAUAUUGCACAAUGGGCGCAAGCCUGAUGCAGCCAUGCCGCGUGUAUGAAGAAGGCCUUCGGGUUGUAAAGUACUUUCAGCGGGGAGGCGUUACCCGCAGAAGAAGCACCGGCUAACUCCGUGCCAGCAGCCGCGGUAAUUC
rnacentral:rRNA from 1 species